rnacentral:rRNA from 1 species
GUGGGGAAUAUUGGACAAUGGGGGGAACCCUGAUCCAGCCAUGCCGCGUGUGUGAAGAAGGCCUUUUGGUUGUAAAGCACUUUAAGCGAGGAGGAGGCUACCGAGAUUAAUACUCUUGGAUAGUGGACGUUACUCGCAGAAUAAGCACCGGCUAACUCUGUGCCAGCAGCCGCGGUAAUACAGAGGGUGCAAGCGUUAAUCGGAUUUACUGGGCGUAAAGCGCGCGUAGGUGGCCAAUUAAGUCAAAUGUGAAAUCCCCGAGCUUAACGUGGGAAUUGCAUUCGAUACUGGUUGGCUAGAGUAUGGGAGAGGAUGGUAGAAUUCCAGGUGUAGCGGUGAAAUGCGUAGAGAUCUGGAGGAAUACCGAUGGCGAAGGCAGCCAUCUGGCCUAAUACUGACACUGAGGUGCGAAAGCAUGGGGAGCAAACAGGAUUAGAAACCCGUGUAGUCC